GAUGAACGCUGGCGGCGUGCCUAAUACAUGCAAGUCGAGCGAACAGACGAGGAGUUUGCUCCUCUGACGUUAGCGGCGGACGGGUGAGUAACACGUGGAUAACCUACCUAUAAGACUGGGAUAACUUCGGGAAACCGGAGCUAAUACCGGAUAAUAUAUUGAACCGCAUGGUUCAAUAGUGAAAGACGGUUUUGCUGUCACUUAUAGAUGGAUCCGCGCCGCAUUAGCUAGUUGGUAAGGUAACGGCUUACCAAGGCAACGAUGCGUAGCCGAUCUGAGAGGGUGAUCAGCCACACUGGAACUGAGACACGGUCCAGACUCCUACGGGAGGCAGCAGUAGGGAAUCUUCCGCAAUGGGCGAAAGCCUGACGGAGCAACGCCGCGUGAGUGAUGAAGGUCUUCGGAUCGUAAAGCUCUGUUAUUAGGGAAGAACAAAUGUAUAAGAAACUAUGCACGUCUUGACGGUACCUAAUCAGAAAGUCACGGCUAACUACGUG
rnacentral:rRNA from 1 species